UGUGGAAGGGAUAUUAUGAAUAUUCAGGGAAAAGAUAGCCUGUGACCCCAACUGUCAAACUGUUUCAACUCAGCAAGCAGCAAAGUGAACAUGACCUUCAUUGAAGCCUCCCAGGGGAGCUGAGGUUGACAGGUGUUUACAAGGAGGAGGAGGCCCACUUCUGAAAGCUUUUCAGAUUAAAGAGCCAGUGGAUAUCUUCAUCAGUGACUUAGAGAAUGACAACUGGGAACUGGAUGGUUAUGUAUCAUCCAGACUUGGAAGGGAACGGUUUACUUUUCAAGGUGACAUACACAGAAAAGACUGGGAAAUACAAGCUGGAAAGGCAAGGUAUGCUGCACUUAUGUGAUUUUUCAGAGCAAAUAUCAGAUUGGUCUGCAGAUGAAGGAGCUGAGUGUGAUAGAAAGGAUGUGAUUUGAAAGAAAUAGAAACAAAAAUAAUGGGCAUGUAUUUUACAACUGGUUAAAAAAAAUUUUCCUUCACUGGCAGCAAAAUAGAAAAUAUCAGCUGGCAUAAAUGCAAUAAAUAUGCAAGACACAGAAUAUCCUUAAUUUACAAAGUGGAAAUGCAAAAGAAUAAACAAACUACAUUACCCUAAGAAUAUCAUUAAAUACAAGUAAGUAAAAAUGGCCAAUAAACUAUGAAAAGAUUUUAACUUGAAAAAGAUCAUUUUCAGCCAAGAGAAUGUUGAAGUUUCUUAAAAAUGUUUUGGAGUGGACUAGAAAAAGGCACCUGAAUGUUCAUUUUUGGUGAGUAUGUGAGAUAUAUAAACUUGUCAAUAUUCUUUUAUCAAUGAUUCUACCUCUAAAAUUUUUUUUUCCUUUUCUUUUUUUUCCAGGUAUUUUUAUUAG